CUGAGUUUAGGAUAAAAUAAGAAAGCUCUUCAUCCUUGUGUUUAUGUAUAUGUGUCUGUAAUAGUGUCUAUUCGAAAGGAUUCCCCCAAUUCACUUGUGCAUCUUGUUCAUGAUAUCGGUAUAUGAACAUCAAUACUGACCAUUGGGAAGACAUAGCUCUAGACCGCACCAGAUGGAGAGAGACAGUGACCAAGAAAGCUAUGGACAGCGAAAGAACAUGGGCCUCAGCUCAGGAAGAAAAACGUACAUUACGAAAAAUGGCCAGCUCCUCUACCACCGAAGCAAAAGCCACUUUAACCUGCGAUAUCUGUGGACGGGAGUGUCUCUCCAAACUAGGGCUCCACAGCCACACGAGGAAGUGCGUGAGAUGAACCAUAGUCGUUCUACGACUGAAGGAGGCCAACAACAACCCAAUACUACACCAGAAUCACUUUUAUCAAAAUAUUACAUUUUGUGUUGCGGGAAUGGCUCGGGCGACACACUAUAAAAUUAGUCUCAAGAAACAGAAGUCAACUUCAUUCUCCAUGAAUCCCUAGCUCCAAAUGGAGAGUAAAAAGUGAAAUAACAAUCUUGGAUGAACUGCAAACUAGUCUCUCGAUAAAGUUUUAUACAUGUAUAACAUUCAUUGUAAUUAAUGUCUUGAAGCCAAAAUGUAUUGUUUGUAAAUUUUUUCAAAUAUAUUCUCACAAAGUUCUGGAAGUUGCUCAGUGCAUAUUUAGUAUUUAUGGGCGUUUGUGUUAAAGCGAUUUUUUGCCUAACCAAAUAGGACUAGCGUUCGAAUCCUGCUGGACUGGGAUGAAUUUCAUGUUUUUCUAGAAACCUCUCCCAACUCUACUGGAUACUUGACUUGAGAUGGGGAAAGUAAUGGCGGUUGGUCGCUGCGCUGGUUUCGUAAACCAUCGCCAAAGAUACAGGUGACCUUUACAUUUAAAACUCAAGGUACAUUUUUUUUUUAAUUAUUUAGUUAUGAUUGUGAAUCAGGAGAAAUUCCAAACUAAUGGCUGAGGGUGUGGGUGGCGGUGGGAAAUUAAGUUGGAAUAAUUAAAGGAGUUGUUCCCACUUUUCUCUUGACAUUUUCAACCCGGAAGUGGAAAAACCAGCAACCUUUGUCCCAUUACGUCACGAUACGUCACAUGGUCACAGCACAGGACCUUUCAAAACUGAGGUCAAAAGUUCAGCUACUCAAUGACUCGACGAAGAAAAUGAAGAAGUCCAGACUAAUUCCGUUUUAUUUUACAGUAUUUUACUUUAUAAUUACAUAAUAUACAGCAGCUUUUAUUCAUAAUGACAAGUCGCAUGAUAUUUACAUACAAUUAUCUUAUCUUAUCUUAAUUGUUGAUUGCCGUUUACAGUUACACUGUACAACAAACACGCUCCAUGUUUUAGCUUUACAUUUCAUUCAUACAUAACUAAAGUCAUAUUAGAACAUAGACUUCUAUUGCACACCGUUCAUCAGUUCAAUCUUAUAGACAUUAGAGGGAAAAAAAUCACACCUUUCAUUUCGUUAUAAUUAACUUGACCUUAUUCCACAAAUUGACUACAAUAACAAUAUGGUAAUGUUUAUGAAUUUUUCGCAGAUUACAUUUAAAUAACAACAAGUAAAAGAGUUCAUUUUGUUAUUUUCUAUUUAAGAAUGUGUGAGAGUAAAACAAUUUCACUU